rnacentral:sRNA from 1 species
UGUCGGAUUUGUUCCACUCGAUCGUA